GAGCACAGAACCGGAAGUGGAGAUAAACACCCAAGUCCUACGUGCUGCGUUCCUGCUCUGCAUGUUUGUGCUGUUGGUUUGGAUUUACCCUGUUUGUACUCACACCUGAAGUAAACCCCACGAGAGUUCGUUUGGAAGUAUGUAGCCUACUCACCUGAGACGUCUUCACCGACGUGGAACCGUUGACGAGGAAGGAGCAGCACGCGUGAAGUCUGUGCCAGCAGCUGCAGCGCAAGUCUCAAGCCCCGGAGAGUGUCCGCUCCUUCACUUUGACAUCGUCCUUCUCGCCUGUCAUGGGUACUAAGCAAGGCGUCGUCUACUCACCGAGAUGUCUUCACCAACGUGGAACCGUUGACGAGGACGGAGGAGCAAAAGUCGGCCGGCGUCUGCCUGCCAUGCGUGGAGUUUGUGCCAGCAGCUGCAGCUCAAGUCCCGGAGGGAGUUCGCUCCGCCACUUUGACGUCGUCAUUCUCACCUGUCAAAUGUGUCCGUUUCAGUACUUGGCAAUUGGUGGGCAAAACGGGAAGCAUUAAAAACUGUCACUGCCUGACGUUAUGGCAGUACAUGAAGCGAG